rnacentral:lncRNA from 1 species
AGAUCAAAGCCAAGGACCAGCAAGCCAAGCAAAGAUGGGUUCCAGCGGCUGGCUUCUCACAGGCAGCUUCGGGUCUACCGCUUUCUGCACCCUGCCCACCCACUCCCAGCAGAACUGGAACCCCUCUCCCUGAGGACAGGACAUUUUGAACCAUUCACGUAAAAGUCUCAACCACGGAGCGUCAGCACCAACCCACCCUUCAGGCGUUGGCAGCAAGGACAACUGUGUUCAGACUGUGGAAAUCAAUAAUGGCUUGCACCCAUCAGUGUCCUGGAAGUAGGAUUGAGAGAGAAGAUUCUCUUGAGAACCGAUUCUCUAGCCUCAGCUCACGACUUUUUCAAGGCUCAGUUUCUCAAUAAAUGGAAAAGCAAAUUCUCAUUAUUCUCCCAAUCUGUUUGAAAGCAGAGCUGGGGUGUUACAGUGAUUAACAGUUAUCAAGGCCCAUUAAAGUUGUUAAUUAUAGUGGCGUUCACUAUCUUUUUCCAUCAUUUUUAGCUAUUGAGACAGGGUCUUUGUGGAUCCCAAGGAUCAUGUGUUUGCAGUUCAAUUCAGCAGCCACUAGGUGGUAAUAUUGUUGAUUUUGGUAGCCAUGAAGUGUGAUCUAUCAGACCUGCCCUCUUAAAUGGAAUUAUGUACAUCCCUUAUAUCAUCAAGAUGUAAUUAUAGAAAUAAUUAUACUUUAAAAUAUGUAAAAUAUUUUAAUUGUGAAAAAUAUAAUCCCUUAUAAAAGUUCCAUGCAUAUCUGGUACCUUUUAAACUUAUGCUAAUUCUACUUACCUUUUAUUCUAAUUAUACACAUGACUAUCUUCAAAUUAUACAUAUAACAAAAAUAAAGUGUCUGGUCUUAACAGAAAUCCAGCUUAUAUUCAUUGCUUCUGGCUUAUUUUUAGAAGAGAUGAAAAAGAUGCACAUAACUUUCCUUCUAAAAUUAUGGCCGUCCUCUGUAGUAAAUAAUUAUUUGCCACUUGAACUUGGAACCACUGCUAUUCGCACCAUUGGGGUCCUGGGACUCAAAAGAAACCAAGUGGUUCUCUAAGUUAGUAGGAUGGCACAGUAACAACGCUGGGAUUGAGCUCACCCUGACCCUGAGUAAGUUACCAAGACCCUCAGACUCAGUUUUCUUAUCUGGAAAGUUAGGAAUGAAAAAAAUCAGUUUCAAAGGAUUGCUGCAAAAUUAAAUGAAGUGCUAUGCACCUGUUGAAGUCAAGUAUAGCAUGCUCCCCAAUCACCCCCCAACACACACACCAGAACUAACAAUUCAGGAAGGAAAUUUUCAGUAUAUUGGUGUUUCUCACAGAGGGUCAAAGUGGGACAAUAAGAAUGCCUUAAAUGUAACACAUUGUAUUUAUUAAAGCUUUAUAGUUUAUAUGGUGGUUUCCCAUGUAUGUUAUCUAAUUUCAUCUUCAUAAUGACACUGUGUACUAGAUAUUACUAUUCCCAUUUUACAGACAAGAAAAAAAAAAAGGCCCCAAGAACUUAAAAUCCUUUGCAAAAUCACAUAGAAAGGUUAAGUGGUGAACCCAGUGUUCAAACCUAGGUCUUCUGACUUCAAGCACAAAGCUCUCUCACUACAUUCAGAUCACUUAAAAACACAACAUUUUAUUGUGCCUAUCGUUAAUAAGACUGUAUUGCACACUUAAGAAUUUGUUAAAGAGGGUAGAAUUCAUGCUAAGUAUUCUUACUAAAAUAAUAAAAGUUGUAUGUAUGUAGAAAAAAGUAUUGCUUAAUCUAAUUAAACUAAACAGCUUCUGCACAACAAAAGAAACUAGCAUCAGAGUGAACAGGCAACCUACAGAAUGGGAGAAAAUUUUUGCAAUCUACCCAUAUGACAAAGGCCUAGUAUCCAGAAUCUAUAAGGAACUUAAAUUUACAAGAAACAACCCCAUCAAAAAGUGGGCAAAGGAGAUGAACAAACACUUCUCAAGACAUUUAUGCGGCCAACAAACAUGAAAAAAAGUUCAACAUCACUGAUCAUUAGAGAAAUGCAAAUCAAAACCACAAUGAGAUACCAUCUCCCACCAGUCAGAAUGGCGAUUAAAAAGUCAAGAAACAAUAGAUGCUGGUGAGGCUGCAGAGAAACAGGAAUGCUUUUACACUGUUGGUGGGAAUGUAAAUUAGUUCAACCAUUGUGGAAGACAGUGUGGCGAUUCCUCAAGGAUCUAGAACCAUAAAUGCCAUUUGACCCAGCAAUCCCAUUACUGGUAUAUACCCAAAGGAUUAUAAAUCAUUCUGCUAUAGAGAUGCAUGCACACGUAUGUUUAUUGCAGCACUAUUUACGAUAGCAAAGACUUGGAACCAACCCAAAUGCCCAUUGAUGAUAGACUGGAUAAAGAAAAUGUGGUACAUAUAUACCAUGGAAUACUAUGCAACCAUAAAAAAGGAUGAGUUCAUGUCCUCCUAGUUUUUCCAAAACAAACUAAUGAAAUGUGAAAAGGGUGAAUUCACAAGGGGCUAUACAUAGAAAGAAAGAGCCUGACUGACUUGGCUCCAUCCUCUACUUCUACCUGGGGACAUUUCCAAUCAUCAGAAAGAGGUUAAUGCAAUUGCAGCUCCAGAGUCUCAUCAAACUAUCUUGGAUUCUGCCAUGAUGAAAGGGAAAUGAGGAGAUUACCCAAUAACACCAUCAUGAGGUUGUCCUUAGUAAUACUUCAAUUCUUACAUGGUUGAGGGCCUACUCAAAGUUGUAAAAAUCAGUUUAAGGUAUAGUCCCCUGUUCUACCAAAGCAAGCAAAUAAACUGGUUCCAUAACGUUGAAAAGAUGUAGGGGUGUGUGUGUGUGUAUGUGUGUGUGUGUGUGUAAAUAUCUGCUGCUGCUCUAGGAAAGACCCUGUAAGAGUUAAUGAUACUUAUCUGACAAAUAAUAUCUUACCUCCAAACCCAACCACUACCAUCUCUCUUCCACUAGCAUGUAGUUCUGAGACAGUGUUUAAAAACAGAAGACAAGGCUGGGCGUGGUGGCUCGUGCCUGUAAUCCCAGCACUUUGGGAGGCUGGGGUGGGUGGAUCACUUGAGGUCAGGAGUUCCAGAAAAACAGGAGACAAACUCUUUAAAAAACUAAGAGUUAAGGCCGGGCGUGGUGGCUCAUGCCUGUAAUCCCAGCACUCUAGGAGGCCGAGGUGGGCGGAUCACAAGGUCAGGAGAUCGAGACCAUCCUGGCUAACGCAGUGAAACCCCGUCUCUACUAAAAAUUACAAAAACUUAGCCAGGCGUAGUGGCGGGCACCUGUAGUCCCAGCUACUCGGGAGGCUAAGGCAGAAGAAUGGCAUGAACCUGGGAGGCGGAGCGUGCAGUGAGCUGAGAUCGCGCCACUGCACUCCAGCCUGGGUGACAAAGCGAGACUCCAUCUCAAAAAAACAAACAAACAAAAAAAUUAGAGUUAAGGCCUAAAAUGCAAAUACCCACGGAAGAGGUCAGAUCCUGACAAUGAUCUCAAGAUAUAAAUGACUGAGAUUUGGUUCUAUGUUUGUGAUUAGGUUUAAAGGAUGGUCUGUGUCGGGGUAAUCUGAGAGAAGAUCUUUACUCUCUCAUUUUGGCAUAUUCAUAAAAGUGUACAUUGAAGCACCUGUGUAAUGAAGAGCCCAAAUGAAAUAAAGAACAGGAUUAUGGCAAUAAGAAAAAAAAUAUGAGGAACAGGUAAAACACCCUACAUAUUAGAGGCCUCUUCUUGACCAUAAUGUAAAUUAGGGUUCAUGUUACAUACCUAAUAAUAACAUCACAAAAGUGUGACGCCUGAAACUGAAGUGAUGAUGGAAGCAUGAGCAAAAUAAGUGAAGUCAAUCCAAGUCAAGGAGAAAGAACGGAGGGGUUCCAGCAGGUUCAUGUGUGUGCACGUGUGUGUGCGUGCACACGUGUGUGUGUAUUAGACUGUCUUGAGCUCUCAAUGCCUUUAAACAUUUCCUUGCAUUUUCUCAUUGACUGGGAGGCUUCCAUUAGAUAGAGCCAUCUAGAGCGAUGUUGAAGAAGGCAGCCAUAGGAAACAAACCAAGGUACUAGCUCAUAGAUCUUGCUUGAUAAGGGACCUUCAGAUUUCCUUUUAAGUUGUCCAGUUCAGCACCCAAUGAAAGUAAUGAGACUGUGAGUAAGACCAUUUGGUUUCCAAUUCUAGGUUCAGGUGGCUAAGGGACCCCAGUUGGUAUAAUGAUGGAGAAGCAAUGAAUAGGAAGCAGAAUCUUAGGGAAAAAUGUGAAGUGCGAAGUACUAUAGAAAAUUGUUUUUCAAAAAAAAUUUGUUUACUAUUUUAAGAGGUACUCACUGGUUAAAACACCCAAAUUUAUAACAAAUCUGCAUACGCCUAUGAACCUCAUCUGCCUAUUUUCUACCUGCUGCAGCAAUGAACCUGUUUGAUUAGUUUUAGGAGUAAUAGUCUAAAUAUUUAACAAUAACAUAGGUACUAACUAGCAGAACAGGCAACCUGUAUGGGUGUUAUGGUGAGGACCAGCUGAAUAUCAGUCUUGGGUUAGUUCUCUUUUGUUUUUUUUUUUUUUUUUUUUUUCAGAGACAGAGUCUCACUCUGUCACCCAUGCUGGAGUGCAGUGGCGCAAUCUCGGCUCACUGCAAGCUCUGCCUCCCGGGUUCAUGCCAUUCUCCUGCCUCAGCCUGUUGAGUAGCUGGGACUACAGGCGCUUGUCACCACGCUCAGCUAAUUUUUUUUUUUUUUGUAUUUUUAGUAGACACGGGGUUUCAUCGUGUUAGCCAGGAUGGUCUCGGUCUCCUGACCUCGUGAUCUGCCCGCCUCGGCCUCCCAAAGUGCUGUGAUUAUAGGCGUGAGCCACCGCGCCCGGCCAGUCUUAGGUUAAUUCUUAUUUGUUCUCACUGUUAGGUAGUAUUCAUUUUUUGCUUCAUUUUUAUCUGAAUGAUAAAAUAAUAUACCUAAUAAUAACAUAACUACUCUUCUGACCCUUGCUUUUAUCCACUUAAACAUAUACAUUAGGGAUCCUCCAGGUCAAUACAUACAGACUUUUUUUUUAAAAAAGAUGCUUAGUAUUCCAAUGUAUGGAAAUACCAUAAUUUCACAACUCCAUUACUGGAUAGUCAUUAGAAACCGACUUCGGGGGAAAACAUACGCUCUUUGCAGGAAUUUCUGGGAAAAAAAAUCCCCUCUAGCCCUUUUAGAUAAAAGCCUACCUAAUAGACCUGUGAUAAAAUAGCUUUCUUUUCUUUAUUUUUUUUUUGGAGGAGUCUCACUGUGGCCCAGGCUGCAGUGCAGUGGUAUGAUCUCAGCUCACUGCAACCUUUGCUUCCUGGGUUCAAGCGAUUCUCCUGUCUCAGCCUCCAGAGCAGCUGGGAUUACAGGCGCACACCACCAUGUCCGGCUAAUUUUUGUAUUUUUAGUAGAGAUGGGGUUUCGCCAUGUUGGC